CCUUGCACUCUAUUUUAUUUAGAAUUUAAUAUAAGUAUUAAAAGGAAAAAUUAACCCUCAUAUUUGUUAAAAUUAAUAAAAUUCUAAACAUCUCUUAUUUAUUUUUUUUCUCGUUUCUUCUUCACUUCUCUUCACUUUCUCUCUGUGAUAAGCUUAAUGGUGGCUUCAAUUGUUGCUAAAUGUUGCUGACUAACGGUUGAUUUAAGGAUAAUCGCUUGUAGGUUUGGUUGUUUGUGUGAUGGUUCUUGUGGUGGAAAUUAUAUGCAUCAAAACAAAAAUCUUCAAUUUGAUAUGAGAAGCUGAAGCGAGAGCAAGAGAAAGCAAAAUGGCGAUGGCAAGGGUGAGCUCAAGCCUCGCUUAUCCAGAGUAAUUCUAUGUUGCGACUUUAUAUGUUGGCUUCGAUGGAUCUCCAGUUUCCUUUGCCUGUAGUGAUGUGGCUGACGUGAUGUUGUUUUGAGCGAGGAGAGAAAAGACUGAUGUAGGUCGAGGCUGUCGGUCGUGGUGCAGCUAUGCCAUCUUGUCGACGUGGAGCGGCAUGGUGGUACCUAGUGGCUGGUAGCUUCCCAACGUGGGUAUUUGGGUUGAGAGGAGACUAGAGAGAUGAAGCCAUGAGGGUUUGUUUUGAAUUUAAUUUUGGAUCGAUUUCGAUCAGAUGUGGCAUUUGUGAGUAUUUAGGAUUUUUUUUUUAUUUAAUGUUAGUUUUUUUAAAAUUAUAAGUUAUAAAUCGAUUGAUUUUGUAAUUAACCCGAAUCGAACACUCGUCCAUGGCUCAUAUCCUUUAAAAUUUUAACAUUGAUGAGUCAACUUUUUUUUUAUGAUAAGUAAUGGAAGAUCAGCCAUCGUAAUUCCU
rnacentral:lncRNA from 1 species